GUGCUCACUUUGGCAGCACAGACUAAAACUGGAACAAUACAGAAAAGAUUAGCAAGGCCCCUGAGCAAGGAUGACACGCAAAUUCAUGAAGUGUUCUAUAUUAAA
ensembl:snRNA U6 U6 spliceosomal RNA